AUGGUGAAGCUUGCAAAGGCAGAUACAAAUCAAAGUGACCCCAAGAAAAUGGCUCCUCACUUGAUGGAGGUAGAAGAAGACAGUGAAAAUGAGGAAAUGUCAGAAGAUGAGGAUGAUGACAGCGGUGAGGAAGAGGUUAUCGUCCCUCAGAUAAAGGCAAGAAGGCUGCUGCAACCCCAGCAAAGAAAGUGGUGGUUUCUCCAACAAAAAAGGUUGCAGUUGUCACACCUGCCAAGAAAGCAGCUGUCAUCCCCGGCAAAAAGGCAGCAGCCCCACAGGCCAAGAAGAUGGUUACUCCAGCCAAGGCAGUAACAACACCUGGCGAAAAGGGAGGCACACCAAGCAAAGCAUUGGUAGCAACCCCUGGUAAAAAGGGAGCUGCCACUCCAGCCAAGGGGGCAAAGAACGGCAAGAAUGCCAAGAAGGAAGACAGUGAUGAGGAGGAGGAGGAGGAAGAUGCGAGGAAGAAGAGGAUGGAUUUGAACCAGCAGUGAUGAAAGCAGCAGCAGCUUCUCCUGCCUCGGAGGACGAAGAUGAUGGUGAUGAUGAAGAUGAGGAGGAGGAGGAGGAGGAGGAGGAGGAGGACUCUGAAGAAGAAGCUAUGGAGACCAUACCAGCCAAAGGAAAGAAAGCUCCUGCAAAAGUUGUUCCUGUGAAAGCUAAGAGUGUGGCUGAGGAGGAGGAGGAGGAAGAUGACGAAGAUGACAAUGAGGACGAAGAUGAGGAUGAUGAGGAUGGUGAUGAUGAGGAGGAGGAAGAGGAGGAAGAGCCUGUCAAAGAAGCCCCUGGAAAAUGAAAGAAGGAAAUGAUGAAACAGAAAGCAGAUCCUGAAGCCAAGAAACAGAAAGUGGAAGGAACAGAACCAGCUACAUCUUUCAAUCUGUUUAUUGGAAACCUGAAGUCUAACAAAUCUGCUCCAGAAUUAAAAACUGGUAUCAGUGAUGUUUUUGCUAAAAAUGAUCUUGCUGUUGCGGAUGUCAAGGUUGGUAUGACUAGAAAGUUUGGCUAUGUGGAUUUUGAAUCUGCUGAAGACCUGGAAAAAGCCUUGGAGCUCACAGGUUUGAAAGUCUUUGGCAAUGAAAUUAAAGUAGAGAAACCAAAAGGGAAAGACAGUAAGAAAGAUCGGGAUGCCAGAACACUUUUGGCCAAAAAUCUUCCUUAUAAAGUCACUCAGGAUGAAUUAAAAGAAGGGUUUGAAGAUGCUAUGGAUAUCAGAAUAGUCAGCAAAGAUGAGAAGAGUAAAGGGAUUGCUUAUACUGAAUUUAAGACAGAAGCUGAUGCAGAGAAAACAUUUGAAGAAAAGCAGAGAACAGAGAUUGAUGGGCCAUCCAUUUCCCUGUACUACAAUGGGGAUAAAGGUCAAAGUCAAGACUAUAGGGGUAGAAAGAAUAGCACUUGGAGUGGUGAAUCAAAAACUCUGGUUUUAAGCAACCUGUCUUACAGUGCAACAGUAGAAACUCUUCAGGAAGUGUUUGAGAAGGCAACUUUUAUCAAAGUGCCCCAGAACCAAAAUGGCAAUUUUAAAGGGUGUGCAUUUAUAGAAUUUGCUUCAUUUGAAGAUGCUAAAGAAGCUUUAAAUUCCUGUAACAAAAAGGAGAUUGAGGGCAGAGCAAUCUGGCUGGAUAACAAGCACCCAGAGGAUCACCUAAUGCCAGAAGCCAGCCAUCCUGAGGAUACCACUGAAGAGACAUUGAAGGAGUUAUUUGACGGCUCUGUUCGUGCAUGGAUAGUCACUGACAGGGAAACAGGGUCCUCCAAAGGGUUUGGGUUUGUAGACUUCAACAGUGUGGAAGAUGCCAGAGCCACAAAGGAGGCCGUGGAAGAUGGUGAAAUUCAUGGGAACAAAGUUACCUUGGACUGGGCCAAGCCUAAGGGCAAAGGUGGCUUUGGGGGUUGUGGUGGAGGCAGAGGAGGCUGAGGCAGAUUUGGUGGCAGAAGCUGGGGAGGCUUUGCAGGCUGAGGAGGCUUCCGAGGUGGAAGAGGAGGAGGAGACCACAAGCCACAAGGAAAGAAGACAAAGUUUGAAUAG